rnacentral:rRNA from 1 species
UACGUAGGGGGCGAGCGUUACCCGGAAUCACUGGGCGUAAAGGGAGCGUAGGUGGCCUGACAUGUCGACUGUGAAAACCCGGAGCUCAACUCCGGACUUGCAGUUGAAACUGCCAGGCUUGAGGACGGUAGAGGAAGUCGGAACUGCCAGUGUAGGGGUAAAAUCCUUAGAUAUUGGCAGGAACGCCGGUGACGAAGGUGGUUUUCUGGGCCGGUUCUGACACUGAUGCUCGAAAGCCAGGGGAGCGAACGGGAUUAGAUACCCUGGUAGUCCCUGAGCGGGCU